UCCGUAGGUGAACCUGCGGAAGGAUCAUUACCGAGUUGAUUCGGGCUCCGGCCCGAUCCUCCCACCCUUUGUGUACCUACCUCUGUUGCUUUGGCGGGCCGCGGUCCCCCGCGGCCGCCCCCCCUCCCCGGGGGGUGGCUAGUGCCCGCCAGAGGACCAUCAAACUCCAGUCAGUGAACGUCGCAGUCUGAAAAAACAUUCAAUAAACUAAAACUUUCAACAACGGAUCUCUUGGUUCUGGCAUCGAUGAAGAACGCAGCGAAAUGCGAUAAGUAAUGUGAAUUGCAGAAUUCAGUGAAUCAUCGAAUCUUUGAACGCACAUUGCGCCCCUUGGUAUUCCGAGGGGCAUGCCUGUUCGAGCGUCAUUACAACCCUCAAGCUCUGCUUGGUAUUGGGCACCGCCCUUCUUCGGGCGCGCCUCAAAGACCUCGGCGGUGGCUGUCUUGCCUCAAGCGUAGUAGAAUACACCUCGCUUCGGAGCGCAGGGCGUCGCCCGCCGGACGAACCUUCUGAACUUUUCUCAAGGUUGACCUCGGAUCAGGUAGGGAUACCCGCUGAACUUAAGCAUAUCAAUAAGCGGAGGA
rnacentral:rRNA from 1 species